UUUUUUUUUUUCCCUAGGUUGUUCCCCAUGGCCCUUAUUUUUUGUUCCAUGGUUCAUAGAUGAUGCCUUGAUUUUGAUAUUCAAUUUACUGUAUAUUUAGGUAUGGGUUAGUGGUGAAUUAGGAAAUAGGCAAUUAGGCAUCCUGUGGGCCAGCCAGCGGUUUACUCUUCAAGGAUUUGGUAAGUUUUGGUGUUUGGGAUAACCCAAAACUUAGGGUGAGUUUGCAAUCUGCUCAAAGCUUAGGAGGCAUUUUUCCAAUUCAACUCUUUUGGCCGUUUUCUUGUUCCCCCUUCUAUAAUAGAACAAAGUGAAGCUACUUCAGUUUUGGGAACUUGAAAAAGGCUUAUGUUAUUUUAGAAGUUGCAAUAUUAUGCAUCUAAAUUUAUACUGCCUUGUGCAAUAUAUUGUUAUUAUCAUUCAUCUUCUAUGGGUCUCAUUAUUUUAUUGUUGGAUUGGCAGUUUCCAUUGAUUAUUAUUGUUUUUGCUUUGGCAAUUAUCAGGCUGAUAAUCUGAGACAACAAACACUUGAACAAAUGCACCGCAUAUUGACAACACGGCAAUCAGCCCGUGCCCUUCUGGCAAUAAAUGAUUACUUCUCCAGGCUUCGAGCCCUUAGUUCUCUCUGGUUGGCCCGGCCACGAGAAUGACGAAAUGAAAGCAAUAUAUUACCCCACUAGAAAGUUAUUUUGGAGAUUAACCCUAUGACCUUACUUGAUAACUUCUGAGUUUUCGUGAUAAUUGAUUAUGAUCCAAGUGUACGGAACUUGGAAAUCAUCUGCUGAACAAUUAUAAUGCAGUGAGGUCAUGGUUGUAGUUGUAGGUUUCCGCAUUCCGCAUUGCAGCUGUAACAUCAGGUGUGUCUUGUAGAUUUUAUGCUUAUCCUGUGUUGUAAGACAUUUAGUGCCAAUAAUUUGAUUAAGCUUCAUGUUUGUUAGAAGUGAUAAAGGAAGAAAAGGAGUGGUACAUGUAACAUAGCAUACAGAAUCAGAAUCAAGGUGUAGUUUACAGUUAUCAAUUUGUAUACUAAAAAUCAGAAUCAAGUAGUUGCAUUUGGG
rnacentral:misc_RNA from 1 species